CAAAAUGUAGCUUAAAUAAAGCAUCUCGCUUACACCGAGAAAAUACCCGUGAAACUCGAGUCAUUUUGA
rnacentral:tRNA from 1 species